ACGUAGGACACGAGCGUUAUCCGGAUUUACUGGGCGUAAAGCGCCUGUAGGUGGACGAACAAGUCGGCUGUGAAAGCCCUGGGCUUAACCCGGGGAGGCCAGGCGAAACUGUAAGACUUGAGGGUGGCAGAGGAAAGUGGAAUUCCCGGUGUAGCGGUGAAAUGCGCAGAUAUCAGGAGGAACACCAGUGGCGAAGGCGGCUUUCUGGGCUGUAACUGACACUGAGGCGCGAAAGCGUGGGGAGCAAACAG
rnacentral:rRNA from 1 species